rnacentral:rRNA from 1 species
CCUACGGGUGGCAGCAGUGAGGAAUAUUGGUCAAUGGACGAGAGUCUGAACCAGCCAAGUAGCGUGAAGGAUGACUGCCCUAUGGGUUGUAAACUUCUUUUAUAUGGGAAUAAAAUGUUCCACGUGUGGGAUUUUGUAUGUACCAUAUGAAUAAGGAUCGGCUAACUCCGUGCCAGCAGCCGCGGUAAUACGGAGGAUCCGAGCGUUAUCCGGAUUUAUUGGGUUUAAAGGGAGCGUAGGUGGAUUGUUAAGUCAGUUGUGAAAGUUUGCGGCUCAACCGUAAAAUUGCAGUUGAAACUGGCAGUCUUGAGUACAGUAGAGGUGGGCGGAAGUCGUGGUGUAGCGGUGAAAUGCUUAGAUAUCACGAAGAACUCCGAUUGCGAAGGCAGUUCACUGGACUGCAACUGACACUGAGGCUCGAAAGUGUGGGUAUCAAACAGGAUGAGAUACCCUGGUAGUC